rnacentral:lncRNA from 1 species
GGGUCUGGAACAACAACCCAGAAGACGGCUUUAGGAUGCCCAAUGGCUCCUGUGUUCCCCACAACAGCUCAGAGGAGAUGCUUUUCCACUAUGGGAUGACCUGUGAGUGCGGGCGCCCGGAGGGAGAGGGGAGAGGCCAUGUGUCUCCCUCAGCCUGUGAGUGAGGCCACCCCAGGUCUGUGCUGGGAAGACAGGAUGGGGACAUGGGUAGCUGUCACUCACUGAGCAGGGCUUUCCAGACUCAGAAGCUGGAAGCCAUUCUUUUCCCCAGACCCGAGCGCGAGCCGUACCCAGUGAGCUGAGGGGGACACACGGCUGGUAUCCAUCCCACUGCCGCCACCCACCCCUGAGUUCCAGGGGCCCUCAAUGGAACAGGCCUCCUUGGCAUGAGGCAUGACCCGCUGCCUUCCAACUUCACCCCCAUCUUCCUUUCCCAACUGUCGAAAAACUCCCCUCUGGCCUCUGGGUGUGAUGGGGACAAGCAGUGCAUCUAUGACACGCUGGCCACUGGAGACACCCAAGCCAGCCUUCACACCAGGGAGCUUUUCAGAAUGAACCAGCUGAUGAACGCCACCCUCAGUACGUGGUGCUCCCAGAGGGCGUCCCCUCCCACAACGCCCUGCUACCUCCACCUUUUAUUCCUUUUGUCCAUCAAACUCUUGGGCCCAAACCUGCCCGUGAUGCCCAGCUCAACCAGCCUCGGAGGGGCUCCUUGGCCUCUGGGAACCCUGCCCAGCACUUCCGCUCUGCUCCCCUGGCUCCUUCGAGUUCUUCACACAUGAGUUUCCCUGGCGACUCUGAGCCUUGGCACAGGCUGCUCUCCUGCCAGGAAGGCCCUGUCUCCGGCAGCCACAGAUCAGUUCCCGCCCUCCAUCAGUGAUUGCCAUGUGAUGGAAGCCUACAAGGACAAGACCUCCCAGUUUCAGUGCACCAGCAACUCUGAGAAUGUCACCUUUGAGCUCCAAGGGAACCACACCUCCUUCCAGAUCCUCAAGAAUGGGACUUUGCUGUGGGCCCCAAACUCACCAGAACCAGUCACCCUGGAGAUUCUAGUGCAAGACCCCAAGACUGGCUUGUCAUCUGUCCUCCAGCCCAAGACAGUGGCCCGCUUUUGCAGUUCAAGGAGCCAGUGUCUGUACAACCAGACCCGCCGGGUGGGCAACUCCUCCCUAGAGGAGGCCAGCUGCCAGUGUGGCAAGGACACCUUUGGUCGCCACUGUGAACGCUCCAAGGACCCCUGUGAUGAGCGGUGCUUCCCGAAUGUGCAGUGCAUCCCUGGGAGGGGCUGUGGCGCCUGCCCCCGGUUCAUGACUGGGGACGGGAGGCACUGCACAGCCCUGGUGGACCCACUUCUCUGUCAGAACAAGUCCUGCCCGGUGAAUUACUGCUACAACCACGGCCACUGCUUCGUGUCCCAGACUCAGGGCUGCCAGCUGGCUUGUACCUGUCCCCCAGCCUUCACAGAUGCCCGCUGCUUCCUGGCAGGGAACACUUUUGUUCCCUCUGUCCUUGGAGAACUUCCUGUGAGGCCCAUCCAGCUGUCGCUCCGUGAGGAGGAAAAUGCCACCAAGGAGGACGUGAAUGCCUCGGUGGCAUACAGGCUGGAGCACCUGGAUGUGCGGGCCUUCCUCCGGAAUAGCCAUGUGGAGCACAGCCAUUCCAUAGCACUGCCCUCAGGACUCUCCAUCCAGCACUGGAAGGUAGUCUCGGAGUUCGGGUACCGUCCCAGGGGCCCUGUCAUCCACUUCCUGAACCAGCAGCUCCUGGACGCCGUGGUCAGGGCCUUCCUCACGCAGGAGUGGGGUGCGAGACAGAAGAGCAGCCCGGAGGCCCGGAACAAUGUGGCCUUCCAGCCCAUCAGCAGGAAAGAUGUGUCCGAUGGCCAGGCUCGGCUGAACACGAGCAACCUGGGCUUGUACUUCAAAUGCUAUGGUUACGAGGGUUACCACCUAGUCUACAGACCCCAGAAUGGCCUCACCUGCGUGUCCCCAUGCAGUGAGGACCACUGUCAGCAUGGAGGCCAGUGCCAGCACCUGCCCGAUGGGCUGCACUGCAGGUGGGCAGGGCCAGGUGGGAGGUGGCUUCCUUUGGAUUAGAAAACAGGGACCGGGAAAGGGUACUGGGGCUGGAGGGUGUGGGGAGAAUAAAGAUGCUGCCGUAAGGGGCCCCAGAGCGGGUGUGAUGACCUCUGCAGGUGUGAAAGCUGCAGCUCAGGGACAAUAAGGCACCUGCCCAGGGCACCCAGGAAGUUACCUGCAAGACACCCUGCUGUCUCCUUGGGAGAAAGGAACCCACAGGGGAGGCCACCUGCACAGGCCCUUUAAGCCCCCUCCAGACAAUAAUGGUCCGAGAGGCUCCCACGAGUCCACUGGCACCUCUCAUCACCUCAGUUCCCUCCCCUACACUCACUCCACUACAAUCCCAGGAGGGUGGGGCAGGGUGAGUUGGGGCCAGCUGGGAGGGGCUUGUGACUGCCCUUGUGCCCCUCCGCUGGGGGAGGGGUUUGUCACCUGCCCACAUCGCUUGUGUCCUGGGGGACGGCCUUUGUAACUGCGCAUGUGCACUUUUGAGGUUUGACUGCGCCUGUGCACUUCUGUUGUUGUUUGCGUUCCUGUUCCAAGGGCCCUUUACGACUGUGGGCCCUUGUGUCUGGGAGGUGCAGCAGAUUCCAGUAAAUCACGUCCGGGAGUUUUAUGGCCCACUCAUGCCCCUGCCCCGGGGGCCUUGCUCCAGCUCAGCCUCCGAGCUGCUGGUGGGCCGGCCUGUCCUAGACAACUUCCUUGGCCCCUGCAGCAGAGGACACGUGGGGAGGCUGAGCCCCUCCUGGCCGCUGACUGUGCCAUUCUCUAUCCCCAGCUGCGUGUCCUUCUCCAUCUACACGUCCUGGGGUGAGCGCUGCGAGCACCUGAGCAUGAAACUCGGCGCGUUCUUCGGGAUCCUUUUCGGGUCCCUGGGCGCCCUCGUGCUGCUGGGGGUCGUGGUCUGGGUGGCCCUGCGCCUGAGGGGCCUGUCCAAGGCCGAGUACCCACUGCCCUUGGAGAACUGAGGCCUCGCCCAGGAGGCAGCCGUGCCUAGGAGGCUUGGUGGACGCCAUCCUCCCCGGCACACUCAGGUGCCAUUGUCUUGGGGACACUGGAUGGGGAGGGGAUGCAGGUGAUCGGGAACACUGCAAGAGGAGCGGAUGACAGAGGGCUUCUGAUUGGUGUCCUACAGUGUUACACCCAAGCCCACAGAAGAGGCCGUGAAGUCACACCAAUGAGUGGGUUCUCACCCAGAACACCCAGGAGGAAGUCACUGGCCUGUGUGGGAACAUGUGUGUGCAAGCUACACACACACACACACACAUACACACAGGAAAGUUGUUCUAAGUUAACUAAACUGCUUUUGCACACAAAACUCUGGUUUACUUCUGAUUAAAGUCUAUUUAAAUAAAUAAUCCGACCUUUUUGCCUCCAAACUAUGGAUUCCAUCCCCAAUUUUCCUCAAGAGCUAGUCUCAGGGCAUUCUCCCAAUCCUGAGAAGGUACAGGGUGUGGAGUUAAAAGUUCAGCAGCUGACAGGACUAGGAGUUGACUAGACCCACUGACCUCAGCUCUGAGUUACUUCGUGCUGGGAAGCCUUGACUGCCACAGCCCUGACCUGGGUUCUUGCACCUGCCUCUAAACCGUCUUUCCCCACCCCAAACCCAGGCUUUGAUGUUCUAGGUGUGGUUUGUCUUCAAAUUUCGAAUGCAGGGGAC